UUUUAUUUUCUUUAUUUUAUUGAGAAGCCAAAACAGGAGGUGCUCUAGAAUUCAUAUAAAAGGGUGAGCGUUCAUCAAUGGUCACUAACGUUCACAACUUCGCAUUGCAGCUUUGUGUUUGGAAUUAGCUUUAACAGAAUAAGGAUGAAAACCCUGGUUUUUGCCAUUGCUUUCUUCUGCCUGGUGUCAGCAACUUUGGCUGGUCAUCAUGGUAUUCAUAUUGGCAUUCCUCUACCCUUCAUCAAAAUCCGUUUCGUAGAUAUUGCUCAUCUUUUCGGAAAUCAUCAUGGCCUUGGACAUCAUGGACUUCACCACGGAGGAGGAGGUUUAGGUUUCGGGUUAGAGCUUGGAGGACAUGGGGGAGGACAUCACGGCUUCUAGAAAUGCGUUGAAAAGUUAGAAAGAUGGCAGGU